GAUGAACGCUGGCGGCGUGCCUAACACAUGCAAGUCGAGCGAACGGACGAGAAGCUUGCUUCUCUGAUGUUAGCGGCGGACGGGUGAGUAACACGUGUAUAACCUACCUAUAAGACUGGGAUAACUUCGGGAAACCGUAGCUAAUACCGGAUAAUAUCUUGAACCGCAUGGUUCAAAAGUGAAAGACGGUCUUGCUGUCACUAAUAGAUGGUUCCGCGCUGCAUUAGCUAGUUGGUAAGGUAACGGCUUACCAAGGCAACGAUGCAUAGCCGACCUGAGAGGGUGAUCGGCCACACUGGAACUGAGACACGGUCCAGACUCCUACGGGAGGCAGCAGUAGGGAAUCUUCCGCAAUGGGCGAGAGCCUGACGGAGCAACGCCGCGUGAGUGAUGAAGGUCUUCGGAUCGUAAAACUCUGUUAUUAGGGAAGAACAUAUGUGUAAGUAACUGUGCACAUCUUGACGGUACCUAAUCAGAAAGCCACGGCUAACUACGUG
rnacentral:rRNA from 1 species